AAAUUACAUGGUAAAACUAAAGCCUAAAACUUUUGUGAAAAAUGAAAAUAUCUAAUUCUACAUCUGCAAAAUAAAAGUGACAAUAGAAAUAGCAAAUGCAGUCAUAGAUUACAGCUAGACUCGAUUCUUCCACCACAAGAAAUAAUAAAACAAACAGUGCAAAUACCAAAAAACAUUUCUUCACUUAUACUGACCCAUGAAACCACAUAAUAAAGGAAAAGCAAAAAGGGCCCACUCUAAGCAUAACCCUUGUACAAAGCAGAUAUAUACAACUCACAUAUGGAUAUCAUAUAAAUUUUAGAAGAUUA
rnacentral:misc_RNA from 1 species